rnacentral:rRNA from 1 species
CACGUAGGGCGCAAGCGUUGUCCGGAAUUAUUGGGCGUAAAGAGCUCGUAGGCGGUCUGUUGCGUCUGCUGUGAAAACUCGGGGCUUAACCCCGAGCCUGCAGUGGAUACGGGCAGACUAGAGGUAGGUAGGGGGAGAAUGGAAUUCCCGGUGUAGCGGUGAAAUGCGCAGAUAUCGGGAGGAACACCGGUGGCGAAGGCGGUUCUCUGGGCCUUACCUGACGCUGAGGAGCGAAAGCGUGGGGGAGCGAACAGG